UUCUCUCUUCGGGUGGCUAUAUUGCUCCGCACCCACACCCGGAUUCGUUUUUUAAGAACAAUCUUACAAUCUGUUUUCACCCACACGAUUUUUAAUUAUUUUUUGGGUGGUGGUCGGCGGCCCAGUAAUCAUUUUGUAUCAGAGAGAGAAGGGAAGGGGAGGAGAGGCGGAGGCGGUGGCGGUGGAGGGGGGUCACCGCCGUCCGGGAGUAGCAGCAAGGGGUUAGCUGGAGGUCAUGGAGCGCGGGAAGCUGCCGCAGCACAGCCCUGUGAAGGGGAGCCGCUGUCAUGGAGGAGCAGGGGGAAGGAGAGAGGGAGGUACUGAGAGGAGGGCGGCGAAGAUUUUUUGCUAGUCCCGCCACCAGCAGGGUUUCGCCGGUGAUGUCGCAACCGUUCGUCGGCGCCGUUCGCGCGGGAGCAGGGUUGGGGAUUCUUGGGGGGCAGAGAUCAAUGAGUGGAUGCCAUGAACCCAACUACGACCCUGAUGACGGUUCGCGAAACACUGAGAGUUGCGAUGAGAGCAUUGCAUCUAGUGAUGAAGAAUCUGUUUCGACGAGGAAGAAGUUAUUAGAAGAUGCUUUAUUUGGUUUUUUAGAAAGGAGGCAAUCAAAUCACUCAAGAUUUUUCAAAAUUCUGCAAGAAUGUCGACCUCGAAACUGAGCAGGAUAAGAGGCAAAAGGUUAUGGGGGCAGGGAGGCAUGUGUUCAGUGUGUUUUCCACAAAAUACUUUGCAGAUAUCUUGAGGCAUAUGUCCAGUGGUUGGAAGGAUAUGAUCUCAGAAUACGGGUUCGAGCCUCUUCUGAAAUUUAAGAAAACUGAUAUCCCGUAAAGAUUUGUCCGCUGGAUUGUCGAAUGUGUAGACAUAAUGUCAUCUCAAAUCAUUGUUGCUAAUAAGAAGAUCAUUUCUAUCUCAAAGGAUUCAGUUCAUUGUGUGCUGGGCCUGCCAAACUGUGGUGAUUUAUCGACACAAGACAAGGAUAGUGUGAGGAACUUCAUUUUGCCUCGGUUCAGCUUGACGAAGAUGCCAAACAAUACUUUCUUUGGAGACAUGCUCAUAUCUUCUGAUUUCCUCAGUGAGGAAGACACUUUCAUAUGCUUCAUGGUGAUCGCAAUGUCGUGCUUCCUUUUUCCAUCUUCCAGGGAUCAGAUUCACACGGAGUUUUUGACCUUGCUUGUUGAUUCAAAGCACACAAGUGGUUUUGAUUUCUAUGCGCUUGUGUAUGAUUGUAUACUUAUUGGCAUCAUCAAGUAUGUGAUUUCUGGCAGAGUAACGGGCAGGAUACCAAAGGUGUUUGACUUUUGCUCGUACUGAAUGACGGUUAGUCUUUUUUAAGUGUUUUUUUCUGCAUCCAUUUGUUUUUGUUUUGUCUGUUCUGUGUCUCCUUUUUUUUCUAUUGGGGAAGAACAGAUGCACUACUGCAAUCGACUCUUUAGAUUUCAGAUUUUGUACUGUUAAUGGAUGUUAGUUAAAUAUGAAAGUAAUCCAGGAUAGGUUGUCGCGGAAAUGAAGAGCCCAAGGUCAGAAGAGUAAUAAGUUUGUGAAGCAUAAGCAGAACCUAAUAAUUCUUACAGCUUUAGAUAGAAGAGAAAGGCCUGGAGAUGUUCAUACCUAGGGGUACUCACAAUACUUCUUGAUACUUUGGUUACUUCACGUUUUCCUCGCCAUUUCUCUCUCCAGACCAACCUAUGCAAUUUUUGAAAUCCAUCCUCAUAAGAUAGAUGGGCCUAUCAGUGUGAAAUGCACAUAUGUGAAAUUUAUUUAUUAUAUCAUUGAAAUGCACAUAUGUGAAAUCCUCAUAAGGUAGAUCUUCUUAAUGUGGCUUUCAAUGUGAAAUCUAUUUAACCUCACAAUAUCCCUUUUUUUCUUUUGAAAAGUUACUUUUGCCUCUCUGUCAUGUUCCUUCCUAGCUUGAAUUUUGCCAAUAAUGAUUGUUGCUGGAUUAUUUAUUGUCUAGUUAGACACAAGCAUUUUCAUAUUAGUGUACGUCCUGGUACAUAUGCACAUAGUCGGAGGCGGCAGACCCGGACUCUGCAGGCUCGCGAUGGAGUGCUCCCGCGGUGCCUUCUUUCACUCGCAAGGACAUUCAGAUGUACCUCCACAUGAGACAUGAUAGAACCACACAGUUUGCUAGGUGAGGUUGCAUUUCUUAUUGCCCAGGUUGAAAGUCCCUGGAGACCACCAGCGGUCGAUAUGCAGUAGUUCGCCAUGAAGAUCCACAAGAAAGACGGCACCACGUCGGAGAAACAGAUGGCUCUGUCAAAAGGUGAACUCACCUUCGGGUGAUGAAAGCGACGCUGAGAUGGUGAUAAUAAACUCAUGUGACCUCCAUGGUGACCUGGUGUGAUCUCCCGGUGAUGUAUCGUCUUGGUGACCUGGUGUGAUCUCGCAGCGAUGUAUCGCCUUGCUUGAUGGAGAAACGUACUACUUAAAUACAUACUCCUACCAAAUAUGGUGGAGAUGUUUGAAGGCAUAAUCAAUCUUGUCGGGCUUUCCUUAUCUCGUGCAUGAUGUUUAGUAUAUAAUAAUUAGACUAAUUAUUGUUAGGAUUCUCUGUGGGUUUUUCCCAUAUAUAUUACUUUUGCACUACAAGGGUGAGGAAGGCUAAUUGUUGUUAGCACGUACUCAGGCUAGGAGGGUGGGAGGAAGGCUACGAUGGUGCUGAUUUUUUGCGUUUGUUUCCAUAUUAUUGUUUGGAUUC